rnacentral:rRNA from 1 species
GCCUACGGGGGGCAGCAGUGGGGAAUAUUGGACAAUGGGCGCAAGCCUGAUCCAGCCAUGCCGCGUGUGUGAAGAAGGCCUUCGGGUUGUAAAGCACUUUUGUUGGGAAAGAAAUCCUGUCGGCUAAUACCCGGCGGGGAUGACGGUACCCAAAGAAUAAGCACCGGCUAACUUCGUGCCAGCAGCCGCGGUAAUACGAAGGGUGCAAGCGUUACUCGGAAUUACUGGGCGUAAAGCGUGCGUAGGUGGUUCGUUAAGUCAGAUGUGAAAGCCCCGGGCUCAACCUGGGAAUUGCAUUUGAUACUGGCGGACUAGAGUGCGGUAGAGGAGAGUGGAAUUCCCGGUGUAGCAGUGAAAUGCGUAGAGAUCGGGAGGAACAUCAGUUGCGAAGGCGGCUCUCUGGACCAGCACUGACACUGAGGCACGAAAGCGUGGGGAGCAAACAGGAUUAGAUACCCCUGUAGUCCG